GUGAGGGAGUGCAGCUGGCCCAGGGUGCACAGGCACAUUGUUUGCACCUGUGCUCCCUAUGCAACCAGAAGGAGUGGACACAGAGUAGAGCCCCAGCUGGGCUCAUAUAAUGGCCAGCCAUGGGAGGGGAAGGUUUCUUGGAUGUGGGCUGCUUCUUGGGAAGGAGUGCUUUGUGGCUGAAGAUCCCCUUCACCAGUAGGACAGGCUUGAAACCAGUUGUCUCAACCUGAUGAUUACCAGGAGCCUGAACAGACACCUUACUGCUCACUUAGAAGUUUGGAAGCAUUCAGACCUGUGCUGGUGGUGUAUUUCCUUCCAUACGACCUCUGACCAGCUAGCAGAUUGUGUUGAGGGUUAAGGAAGUCAGAGGACCACUGCCAUGUAGAAGAACCCUGCCUAACUGACAUCCAGAACUCGGAGCGGCUCCAGCAGAAGAUGUGAUAGCCUUGACCUGCUUCUACCAGGCCUUGCCUUGUGUCCUGGCUUUAAGAGGUUGUGCACAACUGACACUGUCCACAGCAGAGUGAAGCUUUCUUUAAAUGUCUCCAAGUUUUGGAAAACCAAGAGUGCCUUAAGG
rnacentral:lncRNA from 1 species